rnacentral:rRNA from 1 species
UACGUAGGGGGCAAGCGUUGUCCGGAUUUAUUGGGCGUAAAGAGCGUGUAGGCGGCCUGGAAGGUCAGCUGUGAAAACUCGAGGCUCAACCUCGAGACGUCGGUUGAAACCACCUGGCUAGAGUCCGGAAGAGGAGAGUGGAAUUCCCGGUGUAGCGGUGAUAUGCGCAGAUAUCGGGAAGAACACCCGUGGCGAAGGCGGCUCUCUGGGACGGUACUGACGCUGAGACGCGAAAGCGUGGGGAGCGAACAGG